UAAGUAGAACAAAUGAUCGCGGCUGCACAGACGAAAGGGUGCAGACGAGGAAAGUCCGGGCUCCAUAGGGCAGGAUGCCGGAUAACGUCCGGUGGAGGCGACUCCAAGGCCAGUGCAACAGAAAAUAUACCGCCAGGAAUAUCGCAAGGCGACGUACGAAGCCGUGCAACGGCUUCAGGCGUUUCGCGCAGCGAUUGCCGGAGUUUUGCGAAGCAAUACUCCGAGGUAAGGGUGGAAUGGCAGUGUAAGAGACUACCGCCGUCACGGUAACGGGACGGGCUGUGUAAACCCCAUCCGGAGCAAGACCAAAUAGAGAGCAAUGACCGGCCCGGUCCGCUUUCAGGUAGGUCGCUGGAGGGUUUCGGUGACGAAACUCCUAGAUAGAUGAUCAUUCACGACAUAACCCGGCUUAUCGUUCUGCUUACAAA
rnacentral:RNase_P_RNA from 1 species